CAAAAUACUGAAUCGUGGCUUUGCAGGCUCUGGCUGAAACAAAGUAGCGCGUUUGGGUAGUGGCUGGUUACAGUACUGUGAGACUCAGGCUCGUGCCCGCGUCGACCGAAAGCUUUGUUUUCUUUCCUCUGUUUAGCUAAAUGGACAUUCCCGGUCGGAAUAUUAUCGCUUUUUUACGAGAAAAAUGGCAUAAAAUUGAUUUUAAACAGCGGUUGACAUGCUUCAAAGUACGGUAAUGGAAAAUUUAGAUUUUUUGUCACGAAUUGCGCCAUGCACGCGCCCCUGAUUUACCAUUUCGGAUAGUGUCUGGGAUGCACGAACAAAACGCCGCUAUUCGGAUAUAACGAUGGAUUAUUUUGGACCAAACCAACAUUUGUUAUUGAAGUAGCAGUCCUGGGAGUGCAUUCUGACGAAGACAACAAAAGUGGUUUGCCUCCGACUGACUGAGAGCUCCAGCAGCAUUACCCCCUCAUAGACAACAUUUCAUCAUCUCACCACCAUCCACACACGCCUGGUCGUUUAUAACUAGUCAUUUAUUAAAGAAGCAAACGGAUGUGAGGAGGAGGGAGAGGGAAGAAGCUGUUUCCUCCUGACUGUAAAAGGAGUGAAAGGAGCUGUAUUGUUAGCCAGCGUGUCUUACAGCGGGGAUUAGUUCUGGACUGCUGUUGUGUUCUCUUUGCCAUGACCGUCCGGCUCCCCAGAAUGGAGCCGCUCCUACAGCCAGUUUCACUUUCAGCCCAUUCUCCAUCAGGAAACUGGCAACCGCGAGACACCCACUCACAAAAACACUGACACACAGGCAGCAGGGCUUUCUGCCGAUCCUGUACACACGUAUACACACACACACACUCCUGGCGAGUGGAGCCUCAGAUGGCAGAGGAACAACAGGAGGAUUAAAACUACUAUUCACCUCAAACACGCUGACAGGCAGCUAGGGGAUUAAUAUUGUUUGGGGGGGUGUGUGUGUGUGUGUGUGUGUGUGUGUGUGUGUGUGUGUGUGUGUGUGUGUGUGUGUGUGUGUGUGUGUGUGUGUGGACGUGUUUAACUAUUCUUGUGGGGACCAAAAGUUCCCACAAGAAUAGUAAACUAACAAAUAUUUGACCUAGUGGGGACAUUUUGUUAGUCCCCAAUAUUUCUAGCGGGUUUAGGGUUAAGGUUAGAAUUAGUGUUAGGGUUAGAAUUGCGUUAAGGGUUAGGAGUUAGGGUUCGUUUUAGGGUUAGGGUGUUAUGGUUAGGGUUAAGGUUAGGUUUUUGGGUUAGUGUUAGGGUAAGAGUGCAGGUUAGGUUUAGGGUUAGGGGUUAGGGAAAAUAGGAUUUUGAAUGGGACUGAAUUGUGUGUCCCACAAGGUUAGCUAUACAAGACCGCGUGUGUGUGUUGGUGGGGAAAAGGGCAGGGAGAUGAAAGGAGUGCUGCUUUCAAUUUCCUCUCAUGCAGUGAACACAAGACCACACAAUCACACGCAUGCAGGCACACACACACACACACACACACACACACACACACACAUUCCUUUGCAGAAUGCCCUCUCAACCUCUAUAUGUAAAGUCUCUCUGCAGGGGGCUGGCCCACGUGGAGGUAAUUCUUAGGAAACUGGCGCCACACUACUUCCAGAAAACAGUCGCUUUCAGACUAAGGACUUGGUGGCUAAUUGAGAUAUGGAAAACUGUGAAAGCCUGUUUGCAGAUGAAGAGAGAGGUCCCAAUUCAUGUUCAAAGAGACUAAGGGUAAAACCUAAAUGCCAUGGGCUAUAUGUGUACCUAUGUUAGCAAAUGUUGUAUAAUAAAAUACAGUUAAACAUCCCCCGCAAUCUAUAAACCUAUUACAACUGGAGCAGGCUGCCACUGUGUGGAAGUCUGCUGGGUGUACAGGGUUCGGUUUCAGCCCUUAUUCAACUUGUCAAACCUAAUGAGUUGAUAAUCAAGUGUGCUAUUGCUGGUCUGGAACAGAAGUCUGCUCACCCAGUAGAUCAGGGAUCAUUGGAGCAAGGUUGGUCACUACUGGUAUGGACUUUCUUUGUUCACCUGAAAUGAUGCUAUAGUAAUAAUAGGCUGCUCUACCAGUGAGGUAUGGACUUCCACUUCUGUAUUACCCUUAGCUCUAAUGGUUUUCCAAAAUAUAUGUAUUUAAAAUGUGC
rnacentral:lncRNA from 1 species